rfam:Ovis aries breed Texel chromosome 8, whole genome shotgun sequence.
UUGCUAGUGGCUCAGAGGGUAAAGCAUCUGCCUGCAAUGCGGGAGACCCGGGUUUGAUCCCGGGUUGGGAAG